AAUCAACGCUGGCGGCGCGCUUAACACAUGCAAGUCGAACGAGAAAGCUCCCUUCGGGGGGUGAGUAAAGUGGCGGACGGGUGAGUAACACGUGGGUAAUCUGCCCUUGAGUGGGGAAUAACUCUGGGAAACCGGAGCUAAUACCGCAUACGAUCCUUCGGGAUGAAAGCUUUAUGCGCUCAAGGAUGAGCCCGCGGUCGAUUAGCUUGUUGGUGGGGUAAUGGCUCACCAAGGCUACGAUCGAUAGCCGGCCUGAGAGGGCACACGGCCACACUGGCACUGAGACACGGGCCAGACUCCUACGGGAGGCAGCAGUGGGGAAUCUUGGUCAAUGGGGGAAACCCUGAACCAGCGACGCCGCGUGACCGAUGAAGGCCCUCGGGUCGUAAAGGUCUUUCGACGGGGACUAUAAUGAAGGUACCCGUAAAAGCAGGAGCGGCUAACUAUGUGCCAGCAGCCGCGGUAAUACAUAGGCUCCAAGCGUUGUUCGGAAUUACUGGGCGUAAAGCGAGUGUAGGCUGUCCGCCAAGUCGAUUGUGAAAUCUCCCGGCUCAACUGGGAGGGUGCGGUCGAAACUG
rnacentral:rRNA from 1 species